UCGCGCUCGUGUGUUGAUUUUUCUGAAAGUCUCUGAGUGUCUGUGUCCGUACUCGCAGAACUUGUGUUCCUGUGUAAACGAGUGAGAUUAUAUAAUGGAGGUGGCUAGAACUUUUAUGGUGGUCCAUUAAGGGGUCCUUAUGGUCCCAAACCCUAACCCUAGUUUCUUUGCUAGGGUUGCACCCGCUUGUGUGAUUGGGGCCACAGCCAUGUGAAUUCCUCAUGGGCUAGGCGGAGUUUCAGUCUUUUGUGUUGAUUUUGAUCUUUUGUUUUCAUUGGUUAUCUACUCAGAAAAACCUUAAUCUGACACAUGACUUCCAUCCAAUAAUGUGUUUCAUGCAGCAUCAGUUUCUUGAGUUGACAAGAACCAGUAACUCGGCGGUAAAGAAGGCGGAGGACAAAAAGGCAGACGCUGAGUUCUCGUUGCAUCUGUAUUGUAUAACGGAGUUCUUAGGGUCGCAGUUUUGCUGACAAGACACUCUUACUUCAUCUUCUUUCAUGCUGCCACCAACCAAGGUUACUGUCACAAAUUAACACUCAAGUCUUUUUCCUGUUGU